rnacentral:rRNA from 1 species
AACGAACGCUGGCGGCAUGCCUAACACAUGCAAGUCGAGCGAGACCUUCGGGUCUAGUGGCGCACGGGUGCGUAACGCGUGGGAACCUGCCCUUAGGUUCGGAAUAACUCCCCGAAAGGGGUGCUAAUACCGGAUAAUGUCUUCGGACCAAAGAUUUAUCGCCUUUGGAUGGGCCCGCGUUGGAUUAGCUAGUUGGUAGGGUAAAAGCCUACCAAGGCGACGAUCCAUAGCUGGUCUGAGAGGAUGAUCAGCCACACUGGGACUGAGACACGGCCCAGACUCCUACGGGAGGCAGCAGUGGGGAAUAUUGGACAAUGGGCGAAAGCCUGAUCCAGCAAUGCCGCGUGAGUGAUGAAGGCCUUAGGGUUGUAAAGCUCUUUUACCCGGGAUGAUAAUGACAGUACCGGGAGAAUAAGCUCCGGCUAACUCCGUG